AAGCUAGAGCCUGGGAAUUCAGGAGCCCAAAGCCACUUUGAGAGAUUGGAGGAGUAAGAGCAAUGAACCUGGGUAACCAGAGGCGCACGGCCAGCCAUCUGGUAAUGAUAACAUCAACAUCACAGUAGAAGAAGAUCAAGGAUCCAAUAACCAAAAGAUAUUCAAGAGGAGCCUAACUGGACAGCUGUGGUGCCGAUGCCUCAGGAGAAGAGAAGUGGAUUCCUCCUGCUUGCUCACACCAAUCCACUCCUUGUGAAAGUCCCUCAGAUGUAGGGAACCCCCUCACAUGUGGGAAUCUCACUUACCACGCCCUUCACUCCUCCUUCUCUCCUGUAUUUUUUUUUUGAGACUGGAGAGGACAAUGACAAGAUAGAUUAAGAGUUGUAAGGGACCUUAGAAACCAUCUCUGGCAAGCUAUGCAACAUUAGGUAAAUUUAGUUUCUCUAUACCUCAGUUUCUCCAACUUUAAAAUGCAGGUGAUGGACUGGAUGGUCUCUGAGGUCUAAGGUUACUUCCCAGCUCCCAAUCUAUUUCCUAACUCCUUCAUUUUACAGAUGAGAUAGAACUAAGUCUAGGAAAGAUUAAGUGAUUAGCACGAAGCCUUAUGAGUAGUAAGGGGUAGACCUGGCAUUUGAACCCAAGUCUUCUCAUUGGGAUUCCAGCACGUUUUUUUUUUGUUUGUUUCUUUUGUUCCCUUGCACCAUGCUAUAUCCAAAGACUGUUAAGGCUGAAUGGUAAGAGGGGAAUACCAAGAUUUUCUUUCUAGAAAAAGUUUGCACGUUUCCCCAUGAUUCAGAUCUGUUUCCCACUUGCAGGCAGAUUGCACCAGGGCUACUACUCAGUGAUGGAAACUCAUCUUUUCAACUCAUCAUAAUAGGA